rnacentral:rRNA from 1 species
UACGUAGGGGGCAAGCGUUGUCCGGAAUCAUUGGGCGUAAAGAGCGUGUAGGCGGUCCGGUAAGUCCGCUGUGAAAGUCGGGGGCUCAACCCUCGAAUGCCGGUGGAUACUGUCGGGCUAGAGUGCGGAAGAGGCGAGUGGAAUUCCUGGUGUAGCGGUGAAAUGCGCAGAUAUCAGGAGGAACACCUAUUGCGAAGGCAGCUCGCUGGGACGUAACUGACGCUGAGACG